rnacentral:rRNA from 1 species
CCUACGGGAGCUGCAGUGGGGAAUAUUGGACAAUGGGGGGAACCCUGAUCCAGCCAUGCCGCGUGUGUGAAGAAGGCCCUCGGGUUGUAAAGCACUUUCAGUGAGGAAGAACGCCUGGUGGUUAAUACCCAUCAGGAAAGACAUCACUCACAGAAGAAGCACCGGCUAACUCCGUGCCAGCAGCCGCGGUAAUACGGAGGGUGCGAGCGUUAAUCGGAAUUACUGGGCGUAAAGCGCGCGUAGGUGGCUUGAUAAGCCGGUUGUGAAAGCCCCGGGCUCAACCUGGGAACGGCAUCCGGAACUGUCAAGCUAGAGUGCAGGAGAGGAAGGUAGAAUUCCCGGUGUAGCGGUGAAAUGCGUAGAGAUCGGGAGGAAUACCAGUGGCGAAGGCGGCCUUCUGGACUGACACUGACACUGAGGUGCGAAAGCGUGGGUAGCAAACAGGAUUAGAUACCCGAGUAGUC